rnacentral:rRNA from 1 species
UACGGGGGGAGCAAGCGUUGUUCGGAUUUACUGGGCGUAAAGGGCGCGUAGGCGGCCAGAUAAGUCCGGUGUGAAAGUCACAGGCUCAACCUGUGAAUGCCGCUGGAAACUGUCUGGCUAGAGUCCGGAAGGGGCGAGUGGAAUUCCUGGUGUAGCGGUGAAAUGCGCAGAUAUCAGGAGGAACACCAAUGGCGAAGGCAGCUCGCUGGAACGGUACUGACGCUGAGGCGCGAAAGCGUGGGGAGCGAACAGG